UCGGAACACUCGUCCGGUACUGCAGCUGCCCAGCGAUGGGACGUGCUCGUCCGGGCUUGUGUCCCUUCUCUAUUCCACCCCACUGUGAACCAAGCGUGCGAGCAGAAGAGAGAUCGGAAGCUCGCAUGCAACCUUUAACAUACCCCCUUAUGAAGUAUCAGAAUGUACCUUGCGUUAACUCGCACAAAUACAACUUUCAACAACGGAUCUCUUGGCUCUCGCAUCGAUGAAGAACGCAGCGAAAUGCGAUAAGUAAUGUGAAUUGCAGAAUUCAGUGAAUCAUCGAAUCUUUGAACGCACCUUGCGCCCCUUGGCAUUCCGAGGGGCACGCCUGUUCGAGUGUCGUGAACUCCUCCACCCCUUGCUUUCUUAAAAAGGCAUCGGGCUGGGAUUUGGGAGCUUGCGGGUCCCUGGCCGAUCCGCUCUCCUUGAAUGCAUUAGCGAAGCCCUUCGCGGCCUUGGUGUGAUAGUCAUCUACGCCUUGGCUCAGCGAACUUAUGGGAGCCGCUUCCAACCGUCUUCACGGACAACUACUAUCAACUUGACCUCGAAUCAGGCGGGACUACCCGCUGAACUUAAGCAUAUCAAUAAGCGGAGGAAAAGAAACUAACAAGGAUUCCCCUAGUAACUGCGAGUGAAGCGGGAAGAGCUCAAAUUUAAAAUCUGGCGUCUUCGGCGUCCGAGUUGUAAUUUAGAGAAGUGUUUUCCGUGCUGGACCGUGUACAAGUCUCCUGGAACGGAGCGUCAUAGAGGUGAGAAUCCCGUCUUUGACACGGACCCCCAGUGCUCUGUGAUACGCUCUCGAAGAGUCGAGUUGUUUGGGAAUGCAGCUCAAGA
rnacentral:rRNA from 1 species